GGCUAUGUAUCUAGUUGGUUGAAUGGAAAAUUUGGUUUUUCGUGAUAAGCCAAUAGGACUA
rnacentral:tRNA from 1 species